UACAGAGGGGGCCAGCGUUAUUCGGAAUUAUUGGGCGUAAAGGGCGCGUAGGCGGCUUUGCGUGUCUUUCGUGAAAUCCCUCGGCUCAACUGAGGACGUGCGGAAGAAACUGCAGGGCUGGAGUCCGGGAGAGGAGGGUGGAAUUCCCAGUGUAGCGGUGAAAUGCGUAGAUAUCAAGAGGAACACCUGAGGUGAAGACGGGUUGCUGGGCUGACACUGACGCUGAGGCGCGAAAGCUAGGGUAGCAAACGGG
rnacentral:rRNA from 1 species